GAUGAACGCUCGCGAUAGGCUUAACACAUGCAAGUCGAGGGGCAGCAUGGUCUUAGCUUGCUAAGGCUGAUGGCGACCGGCGCACGGGUGCGUAACGCGUAUGCAACUUGCCUCACAGAGGGGGAUAACCCGUCGAAAGACGGACUAAUACCGCGUACACUCUAUGUUGGGCAUCCAAUGUAGUGGAAAUGAAAUUCGCUGUGAGAUAGGCAUGCGUCCCAUUAGCUAGUUGGUGAGGUAACGGCUCACCAAGGCGACGAUGGGUAGGGGAAGUGAGAGGUUGAACCCCCACACUGGUACUGAGACACGGACCAGACUCCUACGGGAGGCAGCAGUGAGGAAUAUUGGUCAAUGGGCGAGAGCCUGAACCAGCCAAGUCGCGUGAAGGAUGACUGUCUUAUGGAUUGUAAACUUCUUUUAUACGGGAAUAACAAGAGUCACGUGUGGCUCCCUGCAUGUACCGUAUGAAUAAGCAUCGGCUAACUCCGUG
rnacentral:rRNA from 1 species